rnacentral:rRNA from 1 species
AACGCGAAGAACCUUACCUGGGCUCGAAAUGUUAUGGACCGGGGUGGAAACAUCCCUUCCCCGCAAGGGGCCGUAAUAUAGGUGCUGCAUGGCUGUCGUCAGCUCGUGUCGUGAGAUGUUGGGUUAAGUCCCGCAACGAGCGCAACCCUUACCCCCAGUUGCCAUCAUUUAGUUGGGCACUCUGGUGGAACCGCCUCGGAUAACGGGGAGGAAGGUGGGGAUGACGUCAAGUCCUCAUGGCCUUUAUGUCCAGGGCUACACACGUGCUACAAUGGCCGGUACAAACCGUCGCAAACCCGUGAGGGGGAGCUAAUCGGAAAAAGCCGGCCUCAGUUCGGAUCGUAGUCUGCAACUCGACUACGUGAAGCUGGAAUCGCUAGUAAUCGCGGAUCAGAACGCCGCGGUGAAUACGUUCCCGGGCCUUGUA